GUUUCAUUCCGUUUCAUUGCAUUGCAUCGCAUCAAAUUCCGGUGUAGUGGUGGGCAAUGGCGUGGAUGGAAUGGGAUGAACGAGGCCGAAACCGAAGCCGAAACCGAAGCCGAAACCGCAACCAAAA
rnacentral:sRNA from 1 species